UCCUGAGCACUGAAAUCUGUCUCAGUCUGCUUCCUGAAAAAUCCAAACUCAUGCAGUUGGAGCCUGGGGAAAUCUGACAAGUGAGAGACCAGACUGGGUUUGAAGCUGGCCCAUUCACUGGCAAGACCACAGGUGUCAAUUUCAAAGGCACUCCCUAAUAAACAUCCUGGAUGCUAAACUCUGACUCAGAGGCUCCUUCCUGUGGAGUCAAAGCUCUGAAGACGCCCUGUUGCCCCUGUAAUGUGUUUUUCUUACUAUGAGAACGCUCACAGCAUUCCAGAAAAACCAUCUAAACUGGGAAUUUAACACAUUUGCAGCUGAUCUCCAGACUCCAUUGAAGCCGUCGAAGGUCUUAAUAGGAGAGGCCCUAUUUGGAGGUGUUGCCUUGUUGGAGUUGG
rnacentral:sRNA from 1 species